ACAAAACUGGGAACUUAGAAAAGAAAAUGGUUUUUGCCUCUCAUCAACAAUGUAGCCGUGCUGCUUUCUCUAGAUUUGCACCCAUCACCAGCAGUGGGUACCUGAAAGAAUUUGGAAUCUAUGGGACAAAAGGAAACUUAGGUUUGAAUAUCUUCCCUUCGUACUUAUUCUCAAAAGCGCUUACAUACACAGCAGCUUAUGAAGCAUUUUAGAUCCCAAGAAUGCACAUUAGAUAUAGAGAAACUGCUGAAAUCUCAGUUCUUUGUUCCACUGCAAAUUAAGGGUCUCAUAAGUCUGCACACUCUACAUAAUCUUAAAAAAUGGGGUUUGGGUUCCCAAGUCCCUUGGCCAAUUUUGAAAGUUUUACCCAUGACCAUAUUUCAUUCCCCUAAACGUUAAGCUGCAGAAACCACUCCCAAAACCAAGUCUGGGAAACAAAUUUGCAGUCGUUCGGCGUAGGUCAAUACUUAGCCUGUUGAGUCACCAUAAUGACCACAGAACGGAUGGAUUAUAUGAUUUUAAUAGGUCAGACACCACUGUUUUUUCCUUUACAAUCACAUAUCCUAAAGCAACUAAGAGUUAGCUUGAGAUAAGUCAGACACACGUGCCCACAUGCUGUUUACAUUGAAAAGUUAUCACCUUUUCUCCAGAAAGAUGCUCUUACAUUUGCACCUGAUCAGAUGGUGCUUCUCUCCAGUCAAGGACAGGACUGGCACAUGCAUGCUAACAGCCUGCAGGAACAAAGGAGGUAUUUCUCUACAGACAGCCUUGUCACUCUGUUGUAUUUGUAGCUUCUGCAGCCAAGUGAGUCAAUUCUGUUCAAAAUUGCGCUUGCCUUUUGCAGUUACCUUAAAAACUAAAGAAAUACCACCAUGCAGCUCUGUUUUUAAACAAACACUUAUACCUCUGGUCUGCUUUUUUUUCUUUUUCCUACUCUGCAGCUGUGUUAUUAAGAAAAUAAAACACUGCAGUCUCUAUUACAAAAGUAUCCCAAUUUGCUGUGAAGUGUACAAUAAAUGCACAUGGUCCACAGAAGUUACUGUUAAAAGACAUUCACAAAAGAGAUAAAUGAAUUUUCUUCCUUCAAGUGAUUUGCUGAUAACAUGGAAAAAAUUUCAUCCCCUCUACAUUUUUUAUAUGUCAAACUGUGCCUCCCCUGAAAAUCACUCUGCAAAAAGCAGUAUGGAAGCUAAGGGUGAAAUACUCUGAAUACAGCAUGUAACAGCUCAGCCUUCAAACAAUACCGGUGUAUUCUUUGGCUCUGUCCCCACCUCAUGCCUUCCCUCCAUCCUAGCUGAGCACCAAUCCUCGUGAGUGGCUUCAGCGGUACCAAGAUGUAAAUUUCUUGCUCUGUUUCUCCAAGAAGAUGAAGGAUGACACAUGGCGUGUGACAUUCUGGAAGAAAGGAACUAGCCACAAGGCUGUCAGUGGGGUUUAGACCUUGGUAAUGGCAGAACUUAGUGCAGUGAGGGCACAUUCAAAUCUGAACCCAUGUUGAGAUCUCAGCUUACAACAAAGCAAACACCUGACACCCAACAGUAGAGCUGUGCUGAGAUCACCACCUGCUCUGUGAAGUGUUCAGUGAUCAUGGUCUACAGAGGGCUGGACAGGAGCACGGUGCAAUUCACACCUAGAGGGGAAGUAACUCUACGCAGGAGACAAUGAAGAGUUAAAAAUCACUCUAUGUUUAACAGCAUCAAAGCAGAGUGGGAGAGAAGUUUUUCCACCAAAGGCAAGAUAAAUCCUCUCGCCUCUAACUUCUGAAGGCUUCGACUUAUGACUCACAGUGUCCGAUGUGAACUGAAGCUCUCAGCCCCAGAUCCGACCCGACACACGCUAAAAUCAAUGGGAGCCUUUCCGCUGACUCUGAUGGAAGGAGGGUCACACCCUGCACAGACGUAAGCCACGCUCCUUAACAAAACCACCCUCAGCUUUUGGAUGGCAGAAAGCGCGGCGGGUCUCAGAAUGGUGGGGAUGCCUGAGGUCAGGGAUUGUCUGCAAUGAUAAACCAGUGCAGGCAAAACCAACAGAGUGAGUGGCCAGCACACCUGUCUGCACCACACCCUGCGCUAGCACUAUCAGCCCAGACAAAACAGAGUCCAGAGCAAAUAUUUGUCAAAAACGUAAUGAGAGCGGAUCUUGGCAGACACCAAAAUCUGGCCCUGAGUGGAAAAUGUAAAAUAAUUAGUCCAUCUUAAAAUAAAGUCUUCAAAUAAAAUAAACACAGGCCUGGAGAAAUGAGCUCAGUGCAGCUCAGAAGCUAGAGAACACUUGCAUUAGGCUUUGCAGAGAGGCUUUAUGCUUGUUGAACAUGCAGGUCAACACAAGACUUCUGAAAGAAGGGGUGCAGGAGUAUGGACAGUGUCAGACUGCAUUGUACGUUAGCAGAACACCAAUAAACUGUAUCCUGCC
rnacentral:lncRNA from 7 species